UACGAAGGGGGCUAGCGUUGCUCGGAAUUACUGGGCGUAAAGCGCACGUAGGCGGUCUUUUAAGUCGGGGGUGAAAUCCUGGAGCUCAACUCCAGAACUGCCUUCGAUACUGGAACGACUCGAGUCCGGGAGAGGUGGAGUGGAACUGCGAGUGUAGAGGUGAAAUUCGUAGAUAUUCGCAAGAACACCAGUGGCGAAGGCG
rnacentral:rRNA from 1 species